UUCGUUAGUGAAAUCGAAAUAAACAGAAUAUGGAGUAGAUAUUAAGAGGAGAAACAGCUUUUAGCCACUUAGAAGCUUAAUUCCCGUUAACGCUGCAAAAGAAAUGCAUAAAUUAUAAUCCUAAUGGACUCUCUGUGAGGCGAGCAUUAAAAUGCAAAGAGCCGAAGCCGCAGCAAAGUUGAUGGUGAAAUAUAAAUGCGGGCGUUAAAUUAGAAAAUGGAAUAGACUGCUGAAAAGCAAACACAUGCAGUCUAAGCACUGCGUCGCGACGCGCCCACUUCUGGCAGGAUGUGUAACAGACCCAGACAGGGGAUAAGGAUAAUCAAGCUCUGUCAACAGCGCGAGCGUGUUGGGUGUGCGGUGUACGGUGUGAGGUGUGGGGUGUGAGUGGCCAACUACUCGACAGUUUUUAAUUGAGUUUACGCUUCGUGUGAGGCAGCAUGCAGUUGCAUGCAACAUGAGCGAGCGUUAUGAAAGAGGCAAACAGCGACUACUACCGCUGGCUGGAUUCGCGUAUUACUCGCAUAAUACUUGUGCGUACUCGCACAUGAGCUCAGCUGGAAGUGACUCGCUUUGCGGUUGCUACUCGACUCGUCUCAACCGCGACAACGAGCACCAUUAUCAUUACCGUGCUGCUGUUGAUGCCGCUGCUUCUGAUGAUGAUGUUGCUCAAGAAUGUGCAGCUGCAUGACACAAAAAUUUUAAUUAACUUAAUUAAGUGCAUCCUGCGGUUUUUCGGUCAACUUCUUACCACUGACGACAGUCGUACCAACUGUCAGUUUCCAACCCACCGCAGCCUUGCGGCAUUGUCUCUCUGCUGCUGCAAAUUGCAAUACAGAGCUAGCCCUCACCGCAGCCUGAUGGAUAUGCCAUUCAAUUGAAUCGCACCAGCCGCAGCUGGUUCGCUCCACUCAAUGGGACAGCUGUUGCGUCGUCAUUUUUGUUUACACUUAAAUGGAAAAGCAAUAAGGACGACUCCCACGCACACACAGUUUACUAUAAUGGGCAGAGAUCUGACACUAAAGAGCAGCACGGCAGCGUCGUUGCUGCCACAGCAAUCGCCACAGCUAAAAGUCAACAUUAAAUAUUUAUGACGCUGCACAAAAAACGCAAUCAAAAACGUGAGAAAAGUUUCUAUUGCAUAGUUAUGCGCGCUCCGAACGGAUACAAAAGCGGGGAAUAAAAAAGCUGUGACUAAAAAAUAACAAACAGAGUCAGAUUUCCAGCGAAUAUAGAAAUACACUCGCUAUAUUUUAGAAAUAUUUGUUUUAUGCUAAUAUUGACUCAGAUAUUAAUAAUGUAAGAAACAAAUAUGAUGCAUGCGAAAUGUGUUGACGCAUAUAAAGUGAAAAUGGGUUGA